rnacentral:rRNA from 1 species
GACGAACGCUGGCGGCGUGCUUAACACAUGCAAGUCGAACGGAAAGGCCCUGCUUUUGUGGGGCGCUCGAGUGGCGAACGGGUGAGUAUCACGUGAGUAACCUGCCCUUGACUUUGGGAUAACUUCAGGAAACUGGGGCUAAUAACGGAUAGGAGCUCCUGCUGCAUGGUGGUGGUUGGAGAGUUUCGGCGGUUGGGGAUGGACUCGCGGCUUAUCAGCUUGUUGGUGGGGUAGUGGCGUACCAAGGCUUUGACGGGUAGCCGGCCUGAGAGGGUGACCGGCCACAUUGGGACUGAGAUACGGCCCAGACUCCUACGGGAGGCAGCAGUGGGGAAUAGUGCACAAUGGGCGGAAGCCUGAUGCAGCAACGCCGCGUGCGGGAUGACGGCCUUCGGGUUGUAAACCGCUUUCGCCUGUGACGAAGCGUGAGUGACGGUAAUGAGUAAAGAAGCACCGGCUAACUACGUG